CCCUUCUCCCCGCGGUUUCUGGGCCAGCAUGGCGGCGGAGCUGCGUGUGAGCAUCGUGACACCGUGUCAAGAAGGGGUAAAAACACUCUCCUGGCUGGGGAGCUGAUUUACCCGCAGUGCACCUUCACAAUGGAGGAAAUGGUCCUGCAGAAUCCUGGGGCUGCUGUUGCCCAAGGACAGCUUUGGCCAGAGGGCAGCUGCUGUGUUUGGCUUCAGGCUGAUCUAGAAGGAAGAUUGUUCUGGACUGGAUGUCACAAAUGACUGCUGAUGUGUCACGUGAAAUGGCCACCUGUGUGUAGCCACAGGCUCCUCCUCACUGCUCAGUGGUCACUGCAGCCACACCAUGGGAUGUGAUCUACAGCUGGCUGGAGGAAAAAGUGAUUCCCUGCUUUCUUCUGUUCCAGAAUAAAAUAAGUUGUGGAAAAUCUUAUGAGUCAAAGUUGGGUUUUAUGUGGUUAUUUCUGUAAAGGUUGGAGUCCAUGCUCUUAAAGGUGUUUUCUAACUGUAAUGAUUCUGAUUCUUCUUGGACAGAAAUGGUUUUGUGCAGGUAUGAAGGAUUUUGGAUUAAAACCCUGAAAUGGCAGUUGUGAGCUUACCCUUCAUAGCAAACCUGAUAUCACAAAGACUUCAGUGUCUGCAGAUUCUGUCCCAAAAGUAAUUCAUGGGAGCAGUGUCACAAAACUAACUUAUGGCUAAGGU